UGGUGCAAUGCAAAUGGUGCAUCUUGCCUGU
rnacentral:piRNA from 1 species